rnacentral:rRNA from 1 species
AACGAACGCUGGCGACAGGCUUAACACAUGCAAGUCGAGCGCCCCGCAAGGGGAGCGGCAGACGGGUGAGUAACGCGUGGGAAUCUACCCAUCUCUACGGAAUAACGCAUGGAAACGUGUGCUAAUACCGUAUACGUCCUUCGGGAGAAAGAUUUAUCGGAGAUGGAUGAGCCCGCGUUGGAUUAGCUAGUUGGUGGGGUAAAGGCCUACCAAGCAGACGAUCCAUAGCUGGUCUGAGAGGAUGAUCAGCCACACUGGGACUGAGACACGGCCCAGACUCCUACGGGAGGCAGCAGUGGGGAAUAUUGGACAAUGGGCGCAAGCCUGAUCCAGCCAUGCCGCGUGAGUGAUGAAGGCCCUAGGGUUGUAAAGCUCUUCCACCGGUGAAGAUAAUGACGGUGACCGGAGAAGAAGCCCCGGCUAACUUCGUGCCAGCCGCCGCCGUAACAC